rfam:Salmo salar isolate Sally breed double haploid chromosome ssa14, whole genome shotgun sequence.
UUCAUACCAAUUUGUAAGUCGCUCUGGAUAAGAGCAUCUGCUAAAUGACGUAAA